rnacentral:rRNA from 1 species
CCUACGGGAGGCAGCAGUGGGGGAUAUUGCACAAUGGGGGGAACCCUGAUGCAGCGACGCCGCGUGGGUGAAGGAGUGCUUCUGCAUGUAAAGCCCUAUCGGCAGGGAAGCAGCUAGACGGUACCUUACUCCUAAGCCCCGGCUAACUACGUGCCAGCAGCCGCGGUCAUACGUAGGGGGCGAGCGUUAUCCGGAUGCACUGGGGGUAAAGGGAGCGUAGACGGCCAUGCAAGCCAGGGGGGAAAGCCCGGGGCCCAACCCCGGGAGUGCCCUGGGAACUGCAUGGCGGGAGUGCGGGAGGGGCAGGCGGAAUUCCUGGUGUAGCGGUGAAAUGCGUAGAUAUCAGGAGGAACACCGGCGGCGAAGGCGGCCUGCUGGACCGCGACUGACGUUGAGGCUCGAAAGCGUGGGGAGCGAACAGGAUUAGAUACCCCAGUAGUC